rnacentral:lncRNA from 1 species
CAAGAAUACUGGAGUGAGUUUCACAGGGAUCUUCCUGGACCAGGAAUCAAACCUGGGUCUCUUGUAUUGCAGGCAGAUUCUUUACAGACUGAGUUACGAGGGAAGUUUACUUUAUAAAAGAUUUCAACUGUCCACAUAAUUAACAAUGGAUAAGAUGACAAUUACAGGAGAAAUGUAACCUGAAAGAUGAAACCAACUUGUCAUAGAACAAUUUUCUAUUUGGUGAAACUAGCCAGCUUCCAGCUGGAUGGAAGGACCUACAGGAAAGACCAGAAGCCCAACUUAACAGAAAGAACAGGUGGGGCAAGGUGUGAUCAAAAGAGAUGAAAGGUGUGUCUGGGCCAGAGGUGAGGGAUGCCUAAUUUAAGGUUAGCUAUUAAUACAAUAAAGCUUUGCUAAAUUGACAAGAAAAGGGGCCUCCUGCAGAGAGCUCUUUCUUAAAAAGAGUUCUUUUCUGACCCAAACUCCUUACAAAUCCUUACUUAUCAGAACAUCAUUCCAUUUCUAUGGGAUUAGAGGCCAAGAGUCAUCUUCUAUUACUUCUUCCUGAUGACAUAGGGCACCAUAGUCUCAGAGUGGAAGAUGCUGACAUGAAUCUGUAGUAUCUCUUUGUUUUUAGUUGCCCACUUAGGGGCAGAACAAGCUACGACUAUUUGGAUGCUCACAAAGACAUAGAUUCUUCUGAGCAGUAAUGUGAAUCUCCUUCUCUCAAGGCCAUUUCUUGGGUUUGUGCCGGUCCUAGAUUCAGUAUUGCUCAAGGUGGAGCAGCUGAUAUCAUGGCUGCAGCCUGGUCCUCAAAAAGUCUGGCUUUUCCCCUCCAGUGGCAGUUGUAGUAUCUGUAAAAUAACUCAGGAGCAGGAUCAGCGGCUGAGUCUGUGACUCUACUGUCCUGAUCAUUAACCACUCCAAGACUGCCCUUUUGUAACUCAGGGAGGCCCGGGAGACUUUGACUUUUCCGCAAGGAAGAGGCAGGGGAUGUGAAGGGGCCUUGGCGCGUGAGGGUGGAGGGGAGCUGCAGGGUCUUGCUUGGUUCCAGGAUUCAGAGAAGGCAGG